rnacentral:rRNA from 1 species
UUUCACCGGAGCUUGCUCCAUCGAAAGAAAAAGAGUGGCGAACGGGUGAGUAACACGUGGGUAACCUGCCCAUCAGAAGGGGAUAACACUUGGAAACAGGUGCUAAUACCGUAUAACACUAUUUUCCGCAUGGAAGAAAGUUGAAAGGCGCUUUUGCGUCACUGAUGGAUGGACCCGCGGUGCAUUAGCUAGUUGGUGAGGUAACGGCUCACCAAGGCAACGAUGCAUAGCCGACCUGAGAGGGUGAUCGGCCACACUGGGACUGAGACACGGCCCAGACUCCUACGGGAGGCAGCAGUAGGGAAUCUUCGGCAAUGGACGAAAGUCUGACCGAGCAACGCCGCGUGAGUGAAGAAGGUUUUCGGAUCGUAAAACUCUGUUGUUAGAGAAGAACAAGGAUGAGAGUAAAAUGUUCAUCCCUUGACGGUAUCUAACCAGAAAGCCACGGCUAACUACGUGCCAGCAGCCGCGGUAAUACGUAGGUGGCAAGCGUUGUCCGGAUUUAUUGGGCGUAAAGCGAGCGCAGGCGGUUUCUUAAGUCUGAUGUGAAAGCCCCCGGCUCAACCGGGGAGGGUCAUUGGAAACUGGGAGACUUGAGUGCAGAAGAG